CGAGCUGGGAGUGAGCGGCCGUACCCGUCACUGCCCUCCUCAGGACCGAGGCGGCGAGCGCUUAAUGCUGGAGUUAGCGUUCCCCAGCACAAGCUUACCAGGUCCAGCUAGGGUGACAACCCUAGAGGGAAGGCCGCAGGAGCUUUGGUCGUAGGGAGAAUAGAUAGGGACACUUAAGGCCAGUCCACGGGGAGGCGGCUCCAUAAACAGCUCCUUGAUGUUAGCAACAGACCGGGCCUACGGGAGCUAGGGCCGCCCGGCAACGUACCCAGUGUUUGUCAACAGUGGCACUCCCCCAUCGCCGACCAAACCAGUCGCCCCAGAGCCUGCACGCAGCCUCACUCAAGUAUGCCUUUCCUCUUUUCCUCCCAGUACAUAACCUUCACUGCUGGGGGACACAGGUCCGGGUCCAGCACCAUCCCCGAAACCUUCCCCCUCGGCUCUGAGAGCGCCCCCACCUGUUAGAGAGGGAACUUGGGUCCCAAGAAGACUCCAAUUUGGCUCAGUUCUCUAUCACCCCCUAAGCAAAAAUACAAAUAAGCACAUCAUUUUUUCUUAAUAAAUUUAUUCACAAAAA
rnacentral:lncRNA from 1 species